GCGCGGGUGAAAACUGUCCGGCUUGGAACAGAAGCGGACUUUGUAGUUCCCUCGCUUGGAUUGGAUGCUCUAUUAUUAAUCUUCGUGGAGGGUUUUUUUUAAAAUUAAUUUCAGUACUUCAACUAUUCGGAAGGACUUCUAUUCCCAAUGAACAAAUAAGCUCACCUCAAAAGACGCUGAUCGGAGAGAAAGCAGAAGAAAUACUUUUACACAGACUGGAGAUAAGAGGGCAUUACACAAGCCAUUUGAGAAAUACCACUUUUGCAAUACCAAUGGCAAUUCUAAAUUAACUAGAAAAGAGAACAUUUCCUGCAAUAAUAAAAACUUGCCAACGACAAACAAGUGUUUGAUUGAAGUCAUUCAUGUAACUCUUCUUCUGGAUAAAAAAACAAACAAUCAGUAUCCUGUUUUAAAAGCUGGUGGAAAGUCAAAAUACUAAUCACUUACAAAGGGCAGUCAACACGUUUUCCAAAAGUAUGUAUUUUAGAAUAUGGAGGUAGGCUCACAGGUUUAAUUACUAACUCAUAAUAGUAUUUAACAGCAAUUGGGAAUACCUUGAAAUUAAGUAUUGCAAAUCUAUUUUAAAGUAUCUGACAAGUCAACACUGAAAGACUGGUGUCCUAGCAAUGCUGCCAUUUGUAUAAUUUACCCUAAGUAUUAGUUUGGUGGUAAAGCACAAUAAAUCAAAUAGUGUACCUUAAAAUUCCACUCAACUGGUUUUUUUUAUUAAAACAUAACAUAGCAAGUGAGAAACUGAACCUUUUGCAGAAGGUUAAUCUUCCCUUUCAGUUUAAUACUAAAUAUUUAUGAUGUUACAUAAUUUGGAAUUAAUUUGAAAUGGAAUGUUUUCCUGAGGAAAAGGCUUAUAUUUUUUGGAUAUAAGUCUGGAUACUUAAAUAAGUAUAUAAGUCAAGAGUGCAGCAAGACACUAAAACUAAAGUUGGUAGAAAAACUAAUGUUUUUCAUUUCUAGAAAAUUAAAACCCAGCUUAGGGAAUACUGAAGUAUAGUUACCGAUUCAUACCCACAGCACUAAUUAUCCAGCAAGUGUCAGUACCAGGCACAUCUUACUUGGGCUUAGAUUAUAACCUUGAAUUUGGCCUGGAUGACAGAUCCAUAGGAAAUAACAGGUUGAGCUAGUCAAAAAACAUAGAAUAAAAUAGCAAACCAUUUUAUAUUAUCAUUUUGAAAAGUGCACAGCUGUGUCUAU